ACUCAUGCUUGCACAGCGAGUACAGUCAGCCAUUGACUCAGCUGCCCAGCCCUGAAAUGUGAGCUCUGGGACUUGUCCUUCUCACAUGAAAAUGUUUCCGGCAGGUGUGUGUCAUAGCAAUGAGAAAAGCUACAAAGACAGCGGCCGUUGCGGAUGAAUAUAGAUAACUAUUUCCAUUGGGUUCCAGAACCUCACUCCCACCAAUGGAGAAGUGCCCAGUGGUUUCUUGGCUGUACUCUCAGAUACUUACUGUCCUCAGCUUGGCAGCUUUACCUGAGAGUCAGAGACCACAAGGAACAGCGAGUUAUAGAACAUCCUUUCACCGGCUAGAUUUCCAAGCGAGGCACGAGGCCUUGUUAGCCCACGUGAUUCCACAACAACCGCUCUGUGUGGGAAAUCUCCCUGAAGUGCUUUCUGCAAAGUCACGGAGUUCUGUUUAGCCUUGCUGAUGCGGACCCAGACUUUCAGGGGAGUGCGCACUCUCAGAAAUAACUGGAAUGCUGCCUGAGUCCUUCAGGUGAGAAACGGGGUAGCAGAACCCUGCGUGCUGGUUAUAGAAUUUUCAUGUUGACAUUGUAGGAGCUAUGAAAAACCGAGGGUUCUUCUUUAAGCCACUUCCAGAAUGUUCCUGCCAUCCAUUGACAUUUUCCUGUCUGUCCAUCUGUCCGUCUGUGUAAUGAAAAGACUCCUAUAACCUAAGCUGACUUUGAACUCAGUGUGCAUCUGAGGACGACCCUGAAGUUUCUGAACCUUCUGCCUCUGUCUGCCAGAUACUAUUGCACUUUUCAGAACGUCAUAUAAUCGGAACCAUACAGUCUGAGAUCUUUCUUAGUUGGCUGUGUUUGCUCAGAAAAACACAUUUGCGUUUCCUCCGUGUCUUUUUGCGGCUUGGUAGUACAGUUUUAGGAUCAACGAAUUUUAUCAUUAGUUAUUAGAAACUAGAAGCCAGAUACUUCUGUCGAUGCUGUGAUCAAGCACCUCACUGAAGGACGUAUUUCUUCCGUUGCUUAGUCUCAGAGGCAGUGGUCCAUCAUGGCAGAGGAGGCCUGGUCUAUGCAGUCUCUGCCAUAGUAAACAGGAAACAGCGAGGCCGAAAGGAGUCAACACGGUCAAUCCUCCCAUCCUCCUGUCCUCGGAGGUCCAUCUCCUCCAGGGAGAUGCCAUCUUCUACAAUUUCCAGAGCUUCCCAAAUGGAGAGCCAGGCGUUUCAUACAGCAGACUCUGGGGAGACUGCAGCUGUAAGGCAUAGCAGGAUGCAUGGCUCUGAUAGGUUCUGGGAAGGCCCAGAAACAAGAAUGACUUUGUUUGCGUGGAAAUCACAUGACGAUGGUGGAAGGGGAGGAUUGAUCAGGGGCAGUGAUGUGCAGAGGGGAGGAAAGGAGAGCAGGAGGUCCCCACAGCCCUGGACAGAAGGUAUGAAGGAAAAUUUACAUCACUGCAGAAGUUACACGUCACAGGGGAGUGUGACAAAUGGUGGACGGCCCAGGGAGGAUUAAUUUUGGUUUAGAGCUUUUCAUUGACCACCUGGUACAGUGUCGUUUUAAAGCUGUCUCUUCUGUACUUGAAACAAAGUUAAGUCCUGUACCCCUAACGACCCCAGUUUAGCUACACAAUGAGGAUGGUGGCAUUUUACAGUGGGAAGGAACCUUCACGAUAACAGCGUAACUCAUAUACUGUACAGAUAAUAAAAAUGUUUUUCCAGCA
rnacentral:lncRNA from 1 species